GACGAACGCUGGCGGCGUGCUUAACACAUGCAAGUCGAACGGAAAGGCCCUGCUCUUGUGGGGUGCUCGAGUGGCGAACGGGUGAGUAACACGUGAGUAACCUGCCCUUGACUUUGGGAUAACUUCAGGAAACUGGGGCUAAUACCGGAUAGGAGCUCCUGCUGCAUGGUAGGGGUUGGAAAGUUUCGGCGGUUGGGGAUGGACUCGCGGCUUAUCAGCUUGUUGGUGUGGUAGUGGCUUACCAAGGCUUUGACGGGUAGCCGGCCUGAGAGGGUGACCGGCCACAUGGGGACUGAGAUAGGGCGCAGACGCCUACGGGAGGCAGCAGUGGGAAAUAUUGCACAGUGGGCGGAAGCCUGUUGCAGCAGCGCCGCGUGCGGGAUGACGGCCUUCGGGUUAUGAACCGCUUUCGCCUGUGACGAAGCGUGAGUGACGGUAAUGGGUAAAGAAGCACCGGCUAACUACGUG
rnacentral:rRNA from 1 species